rnacentral:rRNA from 1 species
UACGAAGGGUGCUAGCGUUGUUCGGAAUCACUGGGCGUAAAGCGCGCGUAGGCGGCUAUCCAAGUCAGAGGUGAAAGCCCUGGGCUCAACCCAGGAAUUGCCUUUGAAACUGUUUAGCUAGAGUGUCGGAGGGGAUAGCGGAAUUCCUAAUGUAGAGGUGAAAUUCGUAGAUAUUAGGAGGAACACCGGUGGCGAAGGCGGCUAUCUGGACGACAACUGACGCUGAGGCGCGAAAGCGUGGGGAGCAAACAGG